ensembl:lncRNA
GUGUAAAAUAUGACCACUUCUGUAUAAGGCUUAGCUGCAUUCUGGCACCUCAGGCAGGGCUAAAUUUGACUUUAUUUCUAACUUGCUUUGCAGGCCUCAGAUGUUAGCAACCCUUGGAAAUAUAAUCAAAUGUGGUGUUCAGCAGAGAUUGUUUGUUCAAGUGGGGUGGGAAGUUUCAAGUCGCCCUCAGCAGACACGACAUCCAUCGCAAUAUUUCAGGGUAUUCAUUUUCUCCAAACGGUCUCUCCUAGACGCUGCUGAUGUGAAAACCGAGGGAAUUAGCUGCAAACCUCCUCCGCCCACAGAACAAGGACACGAUGAACACGGCAAAUGGAUCUCCACAUGGUAAGUGUAAGAGGAAGGAAAACAUUCACAGCGGCUCAUGAGGGGACGGGAUUGAACUGUGACGGAGACACUGACACGACACGCAGAUGGGACAAUCUCUCGAGGGGCUUGCUCAUGUUCUGAGUCACCAAUCUGCUGCAGGUUCUUGUGACUCUGGCCCCUGAACCAUAUCUGCAGACCAUAACAGAGACUUGAAGCUGAUUUUU